rnacentral:rRNA from 1 species
UGGGGAAUCUUGCACAAUGGGGGCAACCCUGAUGCAGCGACGCCGCGUGAGCGAUGAAGGCUUUCGAAUCGUAAAGCUCUGUCCUAUGGGAAGAUAAUGACGGUACCAUAGGAGGAAGCCCCGGCUAACUACGUGCCAGCAGCCGCGGUAAUACGUAGGGGGCGAGCGUUGUCCGGAAUUACUGGGCGUAAAGGGUUCGCAGGCGGCAUGGCAAGUCGGAUGUAAAAGGCGAAGGCUCAACCUUCAUAAGCAUCGGAAACUGUCAAGCUUGAGUGAAGGAGAGGGGAGUGGAAUUCCUAGUGUAGCGGUGGAAUGCGUAGAUAUUAGGAGGAAUACCGGUGGCGAAGGCGACUUGCUGGACUUCAACUGACGCUGAGGAACGAAAGCGUGGGUAGCAAACAGG